GUGGGGAAUUUUGCGCAAUGGGCGAAAGCCUGACGCAGCAACGCCGCGUGGAGGAUGAAGGCCUUCGGGUCGUAAACUCCUGUCAGGGGGGACGAAAGUUGGGAAACCAAUCUGACUGUACCCCCUGAGGAAGCCACGGCUAACUCCGUGCCAGCAGCCGCGGUAAUACGGAGGUGGCAAGCGUUGUUCGGAAUUAUUGGGCGUAAAGGGCGCGUAGGCGGCAUUGCAAGUCAGAUGUGAAAUCCCCGGGCUUAACUCGGGAAUUGCAUCUGAAACUGCUUUGCUUGAGUUCUGGAGGGGGUAGUGGAAUUCCCAGUGUAGCGGUGAAAUGCGUAGAUAUUGGGAGGAACACCUGCGGCGAAGGCGGCUACCUGGACAGUGACUGACGCUGAGGCGCGAAAGCUAGGGGAGCAAACGGGAUUAGAAACCCGAGUAGUCC
rnacentral:rRNA from 1 species